CAAGGCACUGAAAAUGCCNAGAUGAGUCGCACGACUCCAUAAACA
rnacentral:tRNA from 1 species